GAGUUUGAUCGUGGCUCAGGAUGAACGCUGGCGGCGUGCCUAAUACAUGCAAGUAGAACGCUGAAGGAGGGAGCUUGCUUCUUCCGGAUGAGUUGCGAACGGGUGAGUAACGCGUAGGUAACCUGCCUCAUAGCGGGGGAUAACUAUUGGAAACGAUAGCUAAUACCGCAUAACAGUAUUUACCGCAUGGUAGAUGCUUGAAAGGAGCAACUGCUUCACUAUGAGAUGGACCUGCGUUGUAUUAGCUAGUUGGU
rnacentral:rRNA from 1 species